rnacentral:rRNA from 1 species
GAUGAACGCUAGCGGCAGGCCUAACACAUGCAAGUCGAGGGGUAGAGUUCUUCGGAACUUGAGACCGGCGCACGGGUGCGUAACGCGUAUGCAAUCUACCUUAUACAGGGGAAUAGCCCAGAGAAAUUUGGAUUAAUGCCCCAUAGUGUUAUCGAAUCGCAUGGUUUGAUAACUAAAGUUCCAACGGUAUAAGAUGAGCAUGCGUCCCAUUAGUUAGUUGGUAAGGUAACGGCUUACCAAGACAAUGAUGGGUAGGGGUCCUGAGAGGGAGAUCCCCCACACUGGUACUGAGACACGGACCAGACUCCUACGGGAGGCAGCAGUGAGGAAUAUGGUCAAUGGCGCAAGCCUGAACCAGCCAUGCCGCGUGCAGGAAGACGGUCCUAUGGAUUGUAAACUGCUUUUAAUACAGGAAGAAACCCUCCCACGUGUGGGAGCUUGACGGUACUGUAGGAAU